rnacentral:rRNA from 1 species
AGCGGACGCUGGCGGCAGGCCUAAUACAUGCAAGUCGAGCGGUCCCUUCGGGGGCAGCGGCGGACGGGUGAGUAACGCGUGGGAACGUGCCCUUUGGUACGGAACAACUGAGGGAAACUUCAGCUAAUACCGUAUGUGCCCUUCGGGGGAAAGAUUUAUCGCCAUUGGAGCGGCCCGCGUUGGAUUAGGUAGUUGGUGAG